rnacentral:rRNA from 1 species
UACAGAGGUGGCGAGCGUUAUUCGGAAUUAUUGGGCGUAAAGGGCGCGUAGGCGGCCAAGCAAGUCCCGGGUGAAAUCCCUCGGCUCAACCGAGGAACUGCCUUGGAAACUGUUUGGCUCGAGGCCGGGAGAGGGAUGCGGAAUUCCAGGUGUAGCGGUGAAAUGCGUAGAUAUCUGGAGGAACACCGGUGGCGAAGGCGGCGAUCCUGGACCGACACUGACACUGAGGAGCGAAAGCCAGGGGAGCAAACGGGG